rnacentral:rRNA from 1 species
UGCCAGACUCCUACGGGAGGCAGCAGUGAGGAAUAUUGGUCAAUGGACGAGAGUCUGAACCAGCCAAGUAGCGUGAAGGAUGACUGCCCUAUGGGUUGUAAACUUCUUUUAUAAAGGAAUAAAACGAGGCACGUGUGCCUUUUUGCAUGUACUUUAUGAAUAAGGAUCGGCUAACUCCGUGCCAGCAGCCGCGGUAAUACGGAGGAUCCGAGCGUUAUCCGGAUUUAUUGGGUUUAAAGGGAGCGUAGAUGGGUGGUUAAGUCAGUUGUGAAAGUUUGCGGCUCAACCGUGGAAUUGCAGUUGAAACUGGAGGCCUUGAGUGCACACAGGGAUGCCGGAAUUCAUGGUGUAGCGGUGAAAUGCUUAGAUAUCAUGAAGAACUCCGAUCGCGAAGGCAAGUGUCCGGGGUGCAACUGACGCUGAGGCUCGAAAGUGCGGGUAUCAAACAGGAUUAGAUACCCCCGUAAA